AUUGAACGCUGGCGGCAGGCUUAACACAUGCAAGUCGAACGAGUGGCGGACGGGUGAGUAAUGCUUGGGAAUCUAGCUUAUGGAGGGGGAUAACUACGGGAAACUGUAGCUAAUACCGCGUACCAUCGGAUGAGCCCAAGUGGGAUUAGGUAGUUGGUGAGGUAAAGGCUCACCAAGCCGACGAUCCCUAGCUGGUCUGCGAGGAUGACCAGCAAACCGGGAGCUGAGACACGGCCCAGACUCCUAGGGUGGUCAGCAGGGGGGAUAUGGCGCAAUGGGGGCAACCUGACGCAGCCAUGCCGCGUGAAUGAAGAAGGCCUUCGGGUUGUAAAGUCCUUUCGGUAGCGAGGCGUUAACUACAGAAGAAGCACCGGCUAACUCCGUGCCAGCCGCCGCGGUAAUAC
rnacentral:rRNA from 1 species